rnacentral:rRNA from 1 species
CCUACGGGAUGCAGCAGUGAGGAAUAUUGGUCAAUGGACGAGAGUCUGAACCAGCCAAGUAGCGUGAAGGAUGACUGCCCUAUGGGUUGUAAACUUCUUUUAUAAAGGAAUAAAACGAGGCACGUGUGCCUUUUUGCAUGUACUUUAUGAAUAAGGAUCGGCUAACUCCGUGCCAGCAGCCGCGGUAAUACGGAGGCUCCGAGCGUUAUCCGGAUUUAUUGGGUUUAAAGGGAGCGUAGAUGGGUUGUUAAGUCAGUUGUGAAAGUUUGCGGCUCAAACGUAAAAUUGCAAUUGAUACUGGUAGUCUUGAGUACAGUUGAGGUAGGCGGAAUUCGUGGUGUAGCGGUGAAAUGCUUAGAUAUCACGAAGAACCCCGAUUGCGAAGGCAGCUUACUAAACUGUGACUGACAUUGAUGCUCGAAAGUGUGGGUAUCAAACAGGAUUAGAUACCCUAGUAGUC